rnacentral:RNase_P_RNA from 1 species
GAAGUCCGCCAGGCAGCCGCGGCACCUUCGGGUGUCGAGGAAAGUCCGGGCCCCAUAGAGCGGGAUGCUGGCUAACGGCCAGGCGCAGCAAGCUUCGCAAGAGGCCCAAGGCGACGGAAAGUGCAACAGAAAGAUACCGCCGAUGGCUCCGCAAGGAGAUCAGGCAAGGGUGAAAUGGCGGGGUAAGAGCCCACCGCGUUUCCAGCAAUGGCAACGGCACGGCAAACCCCAUCCGGGGCAAGGCCAAAUAGGGAAGCAUUGGCGUGGCUCGCGCCGCUUCCGGGUAGGCUGCUUGAGGCUGUCGGCAACGACAGUCCCAGAGGAAUGGUUGCCCACGACAGAACCCGGCUUAUCGGCGGACUUCCACC